rnacentral:lncRNA from 1 species
AUGCGCAUGCGGAUGCGCAUGCGCGGUAGCCAGUCGACCAUCUCAUCCAAUGGCGAGCUCAGUUGGCGCUGUGUGCUUCAAGAUUCCGAUUGGCCCAGAGAAAUGUCAAUUAUAAGAGAAAUGUCAAUUAUAAGAAAGAUUCUGAAGCAAGUGCUGAGAUUCCGAUUGGCCCAGAGAAAUGUCAAUUAUAAGAAUGAUCCAAUAAUUUUUCGCAAUUCUGGACCCCCCCCCCCCCUCCAAAACAAAACUCUCCGGUUCUACACGAUUCACAUGAAUGACCAAAUUGACCAAGAAAACGGCGAUUGUCGCCGAAAAGCGACAAGUUUGCAGCUUUGAAUAGUGUAAUAGAGCUUCUUAUUUCCUACAUCUUAAUCUACUGCACUGACUCCUUCAGUUCAGUGCAGGUUUUUUUCUAAUGAAAACCAACAUCUGCACCAUCUCGGCUGACAACCGGUUCCUUUCCUCAUCAAGGACAUUCUACACUGCACUAAACAGUCUCUCACUGUCCACCGAUGUACAAGGUUGUGGCUGUAUCAGCCAGUCCGGGUCGCUGUGUAGCAUGUGCCCGCCAGUAGUGUAGAGGAUUCUCUGACCUUGGGAUGGUUUGUUCAGCCAGCAUUGAGAAGAGCCAUGGAAUAAUCCAUAAUAAUGUUAGGUUUAGAAGUUAAAUAUUUGAAAGUUGUAGAAUAAAUUAAUAUAAUUUAUAUUGGGUUAAUUUGCUAGAAAUGUACUUACAAUGUCAGUUAAUCAUUUACAUAUUUAUGUCACACAAUUAUUGCUUACAUGUUUACAUAUUUAACACAGUCAGGAUAUUCUGUUGAAUCUGCCUCUCUGAUUCCCUCACGUUUACCUCAGUCUUAAUUCUAGCUUCUGAUUGCUUAGUUCAGUCACGUGAUGGGUCCGAACAAGGAAGUGUUUGAAAAUAGUUUCGCGUUAACGCCGAUAACGGCCCACCACUAAUAUAUAUAUAUAUAUACAUACACACACACACACACAUAUAUAUAUACAUAUAUAUAUGUAGUGAGUGUAACAUAAUUCACCUACAGUAUUUUGUUAUGUGUUGUUCUUUCCACUGUGUUAGGCAUGUCGUUUACUGUCUUGGUGGUUC